AACAUAAAUUGGGUUUCAGCACAUUCUUCUCUUUCUCAUUCCUCUCUCUCUCUCUCUCUCUCUCUCUGAUUCUCAUAAACUUUCUUGGAUCUGUUAAACUCUGCCAAACUUGUCUCUCAUAAGCUUCAUAUGAUUUUCUCUCUUCUAAUCCAAUAAAAGAAUUUCAGCAAGAAUGCGCCAUCCUAGCUCACUCAAGCAAGAAUUCCUCAAGAAAUGGAUAUUGGGUCUUCAAAGAUGUGGUUUUUCUUCAAAGAAAAGCACGAGCAUCAUGGAGAGAAAGAAGGCUAUAAAGUUGUCUGCAGACCUAGCCAUGGCUUCUACUAGAAAUGGCACAACUUGUUGGAGUCGUGCCCUCAUUGCCAAUGCUUCGAGAGACCAUGAAAGCAAAAUCCUUGCCGAGCAAAUCUUAGGCCCGGAGUCUCAAAGCCUAAAGAAAGCUUCAAGUACUGUGCCACCGGUGAUUUGUAGCAGGAGGAUUAGAAGCAAGAAGAUCUUGAAAAGGAGCUGUAGUAGUCAUGUCCGUAGGGUAAGAAAAAUUGCUUUGCCUCAAAAGGUUCUUAGUGCCAACUCUGUUGCAAAGAGAUUGGUUCAAAAGAGAACAAAUAUUCUCAAGAGUCUUGUCCCCGGUGGAGAAUAUAUGGAUGACAUAUCGUUGAUUGAAGAAACCUUGGAUUAUAUUGCUUAUCUUCGAGCUCAGGUUGAUGUAAUGCGAUUUGUUGCAAGUGCCACCGAGGUUGUUAAUCAAAAUAGCGAUUAGUUUUUAUAUUAUUUUAUAACGUUUAUUUAUUUUACUUCAUUUUGCAAGACUAGCUAGAGUAUGAAGGAGAAAAGAAUCCGAUAUAGUAAAGGCAGUGUACAGAGAUGGAUCAUAUGCUACUUUGACAGCUUUAAAACUGAAGUGUGUUUAGACAUUAUUGAGGCACUUUAGAGAGAAAAGUUGGCGAAUGACGUCCAUAAGGUAACAAUGAACGCCAGACUGAAUAUCCGUACGCAACUUUUCUGCACAUAUUAUGUACUACUAUAGUACUGUAAAAUUAGAGCCAAGAAGCUAGAGAGUAGAGACUAUCAUUUUUUAUUUUUUGGUAACCGAGAAGCUAGAGACUAUCGAGACCAUUAACUUGAAUUUUUAUGUAUUAGUUCAUUCAUAAUGUAUAGCAUGUAAUGUAUGAUAAUACAUAUACAGAUAGCAAGUAGAUUUGCAACUUAAUUCAUUGCUGUUAAUGGGCUCAUGAAGAGUUUGAGAAAGAAGAACACCAGUCUCGAUUGCCUGCUUAA